rnacentral:rRNA from 1 species
CGUUUGACCUCGGAUCAGGUAGGGAUACCCGCUGAACUUAAGCAUAUC